rnacentral:rRNA from 1 species
CCUACGGGCGGCAGCAGUGGGGAAUAUUGGACAAUGGGGGCAACCCUGAUCCAGCCAUGCCGCGUGUGUGAAGAAGGCCCUCGGGUUGUAAAGCACUUUCAGUGAGGAAGAACGCCUGGUGGUUAAUACCCAUCAGGAAAGACAUCACUCACAGAAGAAGCACCGGCUAACUCCGUGCCAGCAGCCGCGGUAAUACGGAGGGUGCGAGCGUUAAUCGGAAUUACUGGGCGUAAAGCGCGCGUGGGUGGCUUGAUAAGCCGGUUGUGAAAGCCCCGGGCUCAACCUGGGAACGGCAUCCGGAACUGUCAAGCUAGAGUGCAGGAGAGGAAGGUAGAAUUCCCGGUGUAGCGGUGAAAUGCGUAGAGAUCGGGAGGAAUACCAGUGGCGAAGGCGGCCUUCUGGACUGACACUGACACUGAGGUGCGAAAGCGUGGGUAGCAAACAGGAUUAGAUACCCCGGUAGUC